UACGGAAGGCAGCGGUGGGGAAUAUUGCACAAUGGGCGCAAGCCUGAUGCAGCCAUGCCGCGUGUAUGAAGAAGGCCUUCGGGUUGUAAAGUACUUUCAGUCGUGAGGAAGGUGUUAAGGUUAAUAACCUUAGCAAUUGACGUUAGCGACAGAAGAAGCACCGGCUAACUCCGUGCCAGCAGCCGCGGUAAUACGGAGGGUGCGAGCGUUAAUCGGAAUUACUGGGCGUAAAGGGCACGCAGGCGGUUAAUUAAGUUGGAUGUGAAAUCCCCGGGCUUAACCUGGGAAUGGCAUUCAAGACUGGUUAGCUAGAGUCUUGUAGAGGGGGUAGAAUUCCAUGUGUAGCGGUGAAAUGCGUAGAGAUGUGGAGGAAUACCGGUGGCGAAGGCGGCCCCUGGACAAAGACUGACGCUCAUGUGCGAAAGCGUGGGGAGCAAACGAGGGAUUAGAUA
rnacentral:rRNA from 1 species